GACGAACGCUGGCGGCGCGCUUAACACAUGCAAGUCGAGCGAUGAAAUUUCGACAGAUCCCUUCGGGGUGAAGAUGAAAUGGAUUAGCGGCGGACGGGUGAGUAACACGUGAGUAACCUGCCUUAGACAUUGGGAUAGCCUCGGGAAACCGGGAUUAAUACCAAAUGAAAUCACAUAUGCACAUGCAUAAAUGAUCAAAGCUCCGGCGGUCUAAGAUGGACUCGCGUCCCAUUAGCUAGUUGGUGAGGUAACGGCCCACCAAGGCGACGAUGGGUAGCCGGCCUGAGAGGGUGAACGGCCACAUUGGAACUGAGAAACGGUCCAAACUCCUACGGGAGGCAGCAGUGGGGAAUAUUGCACAAUGGAGGGAACUCUGAUGCAGCGACGCCGCGUGAACGAAGAAGGCUUUCGAGUCGUAAAGUUCUUUUAUAUGGGAAGAUAAUGACGGUACCAUAAGAAAAAGCCCCGGCUAACUACGUGCCAGCAGCCGCGGUAAUACGUAGGGGGCUAGCGUUGUCCGGAAUCACUGGGCGUAAAGGGUUCGCAGGCGGAAAUGCAAGUCAGGUGUAAAAGGCAGUAGCUUAACUACUGUAAGCAUUUGAAACUGCAUAUCUUGAGAAGAGUAGAGGUAAGUGGAAUUUUUAGUGUAGCGGUGAAAUGCGUGGAUAUUAAAAAGAAUACCGGUGGCGAAGGCGACUUACUGGGCUCAUUCUGACGCUGAGGAACGAAGGCGUGGGUAGCAAACAGG
rnacentral:rRNA from 1 species